rnacentral:rRNA from 1 species
GAUGAACGCUGGCGGCGUGCUUAACACAUGCAAGUCGAACGGAAAGGCGCUGCUUUUGUGGGGUGCUCGCGUGGCGAACGGGUGAGUAACACGUGAGUAACCUGGCCUUGACUUUGGGAUGACUUCAGGAAACUGGGGCUAAUACCGGAUAGGAGCUCCUGCUGCAUGGUGGGGGUUGGACAGUUUCGGCGGUUGGGGAUGGACUCGCGGCUUAUCAGCUGGUUGGUGGGGUAGUGGCUUACCAAGGGUUUGACGGGUAGCCGGCCUGAGAGGGUGACCGGCCACAUUGGUGCUGAGAUACGGCCCAGACUCCUACGUGAGGCAGCAGUGGGGAAUAUUGCACAAUGAGCGGAAGCCUGAUGCAGCAGCGCCGCGUGCGGGAUGACGGCCUUCGGGUGGUAAACCGCUGUCUCCUGUGACGAAGCGUGAGUGACGGUAAUGGGUAAAGAAGCACCGGCUAACUACGUG